ensembl:lncRNA
CACAGAGUGGUGGGCAGCUCUGCCCUGCACUCAGUGCUGCUCUGUGCCUGGGGCAGGAGCUCCAGCUUAGCUCCGGUGUGGGCAUGUCCUGGUGCUCAGCAGCAUGAGGCUGCCUGGCAGCCCACUAGGAGAGUCCUGUGCUGGUGUGAAUGGGGGGCAGGUGUGAAUGGGGCCGUGGUGCAGCAGUGAUUUUACAUAGGGCCUGACCCAUUCCACAGGCUGGGGCAAGGUCUUCCUUUUCUGAUGAAAGAAUGGUUUUUUUUAGGCUAGCUGCCACAGAGUCAUGGUGGUACUUCUGUGAUACAGUGGUGGUAUGGAUUAGGGCAAGCAAGGAGUCUCAGGGUAUCUCGAGUAUCUAGGCAGUGAAAUGGAUUGGCAGGCACUGCACCGAACGUGGGGCCUUUCACAAAGGCCUCUUGUGCUGAAUAUGGAUACUGAGAAUAUGGGAAAUUGGGAACAGAGUCUGAUCAUGUCCACAUCAUUCCCUGAAAGUGUCACCAGCAGCCCUUCUCCCCCAUAGCUGUGCAUGCAUCCAGCCCUGUCUCGCAGUGGGUAGGAUCUCACAGGCUAAGACCUGGCCCAGCUGGCUGCAUGUGCCCCCUCCUGCCCCGCUCGGGUUCUUCCCUUUGGCCUCAGCACACCGAGCAGCCGGGAGCUAUGCUAUGCACCAUUUUGUGGAUGGGGAACUGAAACGCAUGAAGGCGCUUUCAUUCGGGUUACGCAGAGUUCUGAAAUGAAGUCGGAAAUGUGAGUGCAGGCAGAAAUGCACAAGUUCCCGUUCAUGCCUUGGGCUGCUCUCUAGCAGCGAUGUGAGGCAUGGAGAUCUGUACAGUUCCUCUGUCUGUUGUCCUCUGUAAGGAUUUAAAUGCUUUGUCUUCUGAGCUGGCUGUUCUGUCGGUCAGGAUCUGCUGGAAGUUGGCUUGCUAAUUGAACCGGGUUGAAAGUUCUUCCUAUUAGCAUACACAGGCACUGAUUUGGUUAAUUUUUUUCCCUUGCUGAAAGUUCUUCAUCCUAUGCUUCUCAGAUAGCUGAGUCAGGCUGUCCCCAAAGGCCUGUAAGAGUCUUAUCACACUCACGAGUGUUGAGCUCGGGUUGGAAAAGUCACAGAGGACCACCAGCAUGCUCGGGAGAAGUGAUCACCUGCACAGAACCAGGAAGGUUUCCUUGUUCAGCCUCACAAGAUGGAGGAGAUCUGACCCACGUGUUAAAAUAAAUCUGGUGGAGUGGGCUCCAAAUGGAGGAGAGAAACACUGCUGCUGAAGGGCCGUGGUGCAAGAAUGAAUGACGCUAAACUGGCCUUGAGAGCAUAAGACCAAAGAAGACGUAGACCAGCCGCCCAAAGCUGUGAGGGAAAGCACCUGGAGAGGCUAUUUACGUCUGUGAUGUGAUUCACAAGGCUGUGACAGUUAACCUGCUUUUGCCACAUCUUGAUUUAGUGGCCCAGAACUUCCUCAUUUCCACAGAAGAAUCUGCCAGAUAAGGAAGGGGUGCCUGCAGGAGGGCCGCUGCCACCGCUCCUCCCCAGGGAGGUGCUGCAGUGUGCUGCCCUGCUUCUCGGAUAGAGCACUCCAUGGGGCAGCAUGGCAAGCUGCAGGCCUUCUUGCUCCGGGUGAGCUCUGGAAAGAUGCGAGCAUUUGAUUUCUCGGAAGGUGAAAGUGAUUUCUUCUAACACGAGUGCAGACCGUUCCUGCGAUCUCACUGAGACGGAAGGUUUCUCUUUGCCCUGCUUUCUUAAUUCCCUCCUUGUAGAUGUCUUUUCUCCUCCUCCGUCUGACGCAGGGCCUGGGCCACAUCUCCCCUCCUCUUGCAGUAGGGGGACUGAGAGGGACCACGUUCACAUCGGUGAAGCCCGCUGGCUUUGUUUUGUCACACGUGACAGCAGUGGGAGUUGUGCUUUGCAGGUAUUUUUUCCUGUUAUUUCAGAGACAGCAGCAGUGCUAAGGCUAUAAUGAGGGCUCUCUCGUAAUCAUAAGCAUAAGCCCCAUUCCUCUUGGGGAAGGGCUUUGUAUUCUGUACGUGGGCACUGCAGCUAGGUCCGCUGGCAGCGCUUGCUGUGUACCGCAGGUUGAGGCAUAGUGCUAAACCCCCAGCACCCCGUCAUGCUGCAUUGCUCCCAGAGAUGUAACACAACAUUUAGCCUCCCUGGGGAAGCAGCAGGGACGGGUUCUGCUGUGUGAUUUGCCUCUCCAAGUCAGCACUCGGUUCCCAAGGCUCACUCUGAAGUCUGUGGAAAGGGAAAACCCCCUCGGGAACAGUACUCAGUACCACAUGUUGGUCUCCAGCUGCAUUGCCAUCAGGAGGAGCUUUUCUGCCCUGAGAACUCAGGUGUGGGAGAAAAACUGCCUUCCUACAGCUCAUCUAUAAGGCGGAUGGGAAGCGCUAGGCUGCAUGGCUCCGCUGGGACUGCAUCAGGGACACGAGACGCUUUGCUUCAGGUGAGGGCUCCACAGCACAGCGAAGGCCUAACAACUGCCAAAAACACAUAGUCACCCAUCUGCAUUGUUUUCAGAUUGCAUGCACUCUGAGAUAAAGGUCUCCCGGGGCUCACAGUCCUACAGGUGGGUUUGGUAGAUCUUGUGGCCCUCCUGGAUGUCCAGGAGGGAAGUCAGCUCCCCAGCAGUGAGCACAGCCACCCUAGAAAGCAUCCUUGGUUUUUGGUGUGCAGUGAGAGUCGGUAUUGAUUUGUUUUUCUCUCUGUAUGAAUGGGAAGCUAUUGUUACAGAGCCUGAAGUAGAACUCCAGUGUCUGCUUUUGCUCUGUACCCUCCUCUCUAUUGAGUCAUGUAAGCCCUACAAAAGCUCAGAGGAGUGAUGCUUGUGUAGCUCUGCUUGUGCUUUCCUUUCAGACCAGGCUUCGAGAAGCGUGUGCCUUUGGUGGGUGAUGGGAAGGAUGCACAAAGACACAGCUGUCUCCCAGCAGUCUGUGUGCCUGCGUGCCCUCCUGGCUGCAGAGAGGUAUGUGAGAGGCAUUGCAGAACGCGUCAGUCCGGCAACAUGUAGGCAAUGAUCAUCAUGCAAGAAGAAGCUUUCUUUGCAUCUGGGGAAAAAUGACUUUCUGUACGCAGUGGUUGCUCCCACUCGAUUAUUGUCACGUAAGACCUUGAUUUAAUGCAGGUUUCAGUUACAGGAAGCUCACGAGAGAGGCCGUGUCAAUAAGAGCAAUGGCUGUAGUGCCUGUCACGACCGCACGCCUUUCUCAGGAAUAGAGAACGAAGGCUGGAAGCUCUCCUGCUGCCUCUGCCAGAAGUGGUGUCAGGUUCUGCGUGUCCCCUGUGAUGUGACCAAGCAGACAGCGCAGAAGAAUAAAUAACAAAAAUGCUUAACUGUGCUGUGCUGAUAGGGGGGCAGACUUCCAUCACCCAGGUAUGGGUACAUGCGUUAUCUCUGACAGUGCCCGCCGUACCCCAUCAUUCAUCCCAUCCCUUAUGCUUUGGCGAUACCUGGAUAAAUGGGGGGGAAAAAUGCACAUACAUUUCUCAAGGAUGCGUUUACGUUUCCUGCAUAACUUUUCUGCAUUAACAUUAUGACCUGAAUCCAAAGAGGCUCCAACCUGCUUUCCAGAGACUGCAUUCCGAGGCAGAAGCCAUGCUGCCAGAGCUGCUCACCUCCUGGCAGGGAUCUGGUCCGUGCUUACCUGCUCUGGCAACACCCACUGCCUUCCUGCAGGCACUGGGGCAGACCGGGGCUCGCCAGACGUCAGACACCCCAUGUGCCAUCACAGGACUGGAGGAGGCACAGUUCUGAACAGUAAAUGCCAGCAAAGGGAAGAGGAGCUGGACGGGAGGGCAGAGUAUUUGUUAUCAUCUCAAUUAAGGCCCUCUUGUCAUUGUAACGUGAACAUCUGAUCCAUCUACAAAGCUGUAGUAACGGUUCGUAAAAGCACAGCUUCUCUCUGAAAGAGACUGCCAACGUGUUUCAUGUUUAUCUCUCAGGGACUUGGUAGCAACCGUGUGUGGCUUGCAAGUACAAAGGCAUGGUUUUUUUUUCCUAACUGCCUGCCCUCCAGAUGCAGCCUGAGCCCAGAGCUGAGCUCUGUCUCUCCAUCAGCCUCUGAUCAGAGGUUCUGAUAGAAGCGCUCAGCGUGCAGCAGCACCUGCAAGCCGGGCCCCAGCAGUGCAUGCAGAGGACUGCCAUGGCAUUCAGUAGGUAGCUGGGAGCUGGAACUAGCUCCUGCUCUCCAGAGUCACUUUGAAAACAGCCACACUGUUGUACAAGGUGCUGCUGUGCCCUUACAGUCACACUGACACGAUCACCUCAGGUACAGCCUGCUGGAGAGACAGAGCACUCAGCAGCACUCCAGGCAAAAAGCUGACGGAGCUGCUUGAGGAUGCUGUUGUUACCUCUCAUUGUUAAAGGGAGAAAGGAGAAACCACACAGGUGGAGCAAACAGCUGUAGAAGAGGAGCAGAAGAGCUUCUAAAGGCAAGUCAGACUGGACUUGCAACCUCCAGCUGAGGGGAAAAGGCAGAUGUUUUGUACAGGAUAUGUUUAUACCUCUGCAUCCUUAGAAAGCAAGGAUGCUGCUUUCCCAACAGCACGGUUACCAGCUAUUUAUUUUGCAGUGAGUGUUACAGAGCAAAGAGGAUUCAUCCAGCACUGCCAGCUCCUUCCUCCUUUUGUGCAAGGAGAGCAAGGUCUGGGGGAGGCCACGUGCCUUGUCCAAGCCGAGCAGCAAGCUGGCAGCUGUGCUCACCUUGUUGGCUGGGCUUUGCCUCACGUGCAGGGAAGAGGAAUGACCCCACAUCCCAUGCUGUCCCAGCUGAGCUUCUGCUCAGGGUCUCUUCCCUCCCACGCCUGCUCUGGGUGUGAGGCUGUGAAGGCCUGCAGUCAGCCUGCUGUCUUCCCAGCAGAGGAGAAACCUCAAGAAGCAAGGAAAGUCAUCGGUUUCCUAUGUACCCUCAACAGCUUUUGAUCUUGGUUAUUUCUGGGAGCAAAGAAGUCAGUUCAAGGCUCAUUCCAACCAAAGCAGGCACUAAGGGGAGCGUGGGAACUGAUGAUCCUUCUGAUACAGAACUUGUGUAAGACCACCUAGCACUCGGGAUGCAAGCAAAAUCCAGGCCUGGGUGACUAGCAGGUAGUGAGCCUUGUGCAGGACCAGAGGCUCAGUGCUCUGCAACGGGUCAGCUCAUCACUCCUUCAGUCCGAAGGGUGCCUAUUCAACCAGUGACAGGGAACAAACUGGAGAGGCAGCUCCAGAGCCAAAUUCACUUCUUUGACAGUUUGCACCCUGAUAUAUUCUGGUGUGAGGUGCUCUUUGCUGUGGUAUCUGAUAAUGCAGGAGCUCUAACUGAAGCUUUACCCUUGACUAUGGUGGUUAUGACUUCCCCACUGCCGCUCUGCCCCCCACCUGCUUCCUCCCCAGACCAAGGAAGCCUACAAAGAGGGACGUCAGGGAGCACAAAACAUCUUCUGUGUCAGCCUGGAUAAAUCUGGCUAGCAGGGGAGAAAGGCAGAUGCAGAUACCAAUGUGUUCACUCACCUGUAGCAAUCACCUCCUUUAACUAAAAACCCCAGAAAGCCAAGGAAUGGGCUGUGUAAGAGAAUGGCCCAUUAACAUUUAUACAGCACAGUUGUGUUUCCAAAUGUCCGCUUAGUCCCAGGCUCUCCCAGCUGAUAAAAACAAUAGCAAGCUGUCACACCUGAUUCUCUCUCUCUCCAGCCCUGCAAGCAGAGGAGAAUCUGUAGCAAUAUUGGGAAGGAAAGUGGAGACAAGUUACCUUUACUAUUCCAUGGGAAAAUAAGCUGUUGGAUUAUUGUCUGGAAACUGUGAAGUGCUAAGAUGAGCAACGAGAGGCUGGAGAACCCUGGACCCUCCCCACUGACUGAAGGCCUGAAGAGAAAGAGGGGGAGACCAAAGAAGCAGCCGCAGGAGGAGGCUGUGGGACCACUGCCGGAGAAAAAGCCACGAGGAAGGCCAAAAGGAAGCAAGAAAGUGAGCAGUGUAACGGGACAAAUGGUAACAGUGAAUGGCUUGUGUGCUUUACCAAGGGGAGGAGAGGUGCUGGCUGGAUAAGCGGGGAGGUUCCUCUUAAGACGGACAGGGGAAAGCUGCCCCUAUUUCGGUUCACCUUCAGCUGCCACCAUUGGACCCACCAGUUCCUGCAGCCUUUGUCCAGGCUCCCCCAGCCCUCCUGUGCUGCCCCUGCCUGCUCAGCACUUCCCGCUGGUGUUUGUGCUGUGUGGUUUCCAUGUGGUGGCAGUCAGGGCGAUUCCAUGGGCGCCUCCUCCCCAGCUGCCCUCCUCCCCCAGCUUUGGCUCCUUCUGCUGCUCGUCCUGUAAGAACGUUAUGCAGAGUUCCCUUUGGCCGAGUUAAGGGUAUCAGUGGUGAUGCCCACUGAAAAUAUAUCCGUUGUUCUGCUGUGUUUGUUCUUCUCAGUCUCUGCAGUGACACACAGCUGAGCUGGCCUGAUGGUCUCACACACGUGGGAAGCUCUGAGUGCCCUUCCAGUGCCCGAGCCCCAGGGCUCAGCUCCCAUAGCAGGCUGGGAGAGCUGCUGUGCCUCGCUCAGGACGUGUCAGUCCAUCACAGCACUGUGCCAGGCUGGGGAGGCCAGGGCACAGAUUCCAUUCUCAGGCACUGGGGGCUGUCGUCCCAGGAGUCCUGAAACACAGCAGCGAUUGCUCAGCACGUCUGUUUGCUUCUAAACAAGAAACUUAGAAUUAAGCUAAAAAAAGGGAAAUUUGGUGAACAACAAAACAGUGAGUGCCGCCAGCAGGAGGCUCUUCUCUGCAGCCAGCAAAAGAUUAGUGAGAAUCGGUAGCUGCAAGAUGAAGGCUUGAAGAAAAAACCCCACACUUUUAAUCAAUAAGGAUAUUCAGUCCUGCAAACAAGUAAUGGUCUGGGAUCUGUCUUUAAAAACCAAAACAAAACACAAAGCCACGCAAAUCCCACAGACUGUUCCAUUUAUUGCACAGUUGUUACCACAAAGAAUUGCAGACCAAAGCCACGCUGUGCACUCACUGCACAGUGAGUGCAAUCCAGAGGUGUGCAGUCAGAAGCCAGGCCUCCCGUUCUCCAGGUUGCAUGGAUUGAAGGUAUCAGUGUAAAAAUAAACAGAGAGGUGUUCCCUGAAGGCUCUGUGGUCUGGAACCUCCUGAGUGGGAGGUUUGUCAGUGCUUUGUGGAGCUGCACUGGCAGUUCCACUGGAGCUGCACACUCACUGGAGUCCAAGCAGUCUCCAACACACCAGAAGUUAUAAAUGGCUUUAUAUUUCAGACUCCUGAGGCAAACGUGGGGAUUUCAGGGAGCACAAAAGCUGACUGUUAGGAGUUAUUUUAACUUGCAGCUCACCUGGAAGGAAAUAUCUAGGAGAGGAGUGUUAGUGCUAAAAAGAAACACUGAUGAGAGCAGAGCAACACCGGGCAGGAUGCACUCACUGUGUAAAAGCUGAGAUGGAGGCUGGUAUUUGGGUGGUUGCAUGCAGACCAGCAGUCCAGGGCUGGUUUUGGUCCUUCCCAAGGACCAGUGUAGGUCAAGGCUUUGCAGGCUGCUUGGGAGCAGCCUGGGUAUUAAUGAAUUUGAGACUGGGUAAGAGAGAGAGCCAUCUGCAGGUGUGAUUUGACCUGGCUGUGUGCUGGAGGGGAGGCAGAAAUUGGGAGGAGAAGGAGGGAGGCCUCAGCUGAGACAGCACUGAGCUUUAGUGGAAAGUGCCCAGGCACCAGGAGAAGGCAGAGUGGAGCUAUGUGCAGAACACAGAGGGCUCUGAGUUUCCAAGGGAAUGCAGGAUAGAAUAACUUGAUUUAUUUCUUAAACUGGUGGAGUGCAGGACUAGCACUGUCUUGGACGAUGGUACAAACUGAUGGGUCCUGCCUGGGUAGCUGUGAACUCCAGUGGGUGCAUGCAAAGGCAGAGGCCAAAGGAAGAGCUGGCAGGGAGUUUCUGCCAUUCAUCAACCAGUCUGAAACAGGCAGGUUUAACCUUCAGCAGUGCAGUUCUGCUCCCAGCCUGGCAGGGGACAGAGUAGGCAAUGAAGCUCUGUGGGAGGGAUACAUUCAGUCCUCGCUUCUGCUGUCGCUGUGAUGCAGGCUGAACCAUGGCAGGGAGGCUGUGGCCAUGGGGCUCUGUUACUGUAGAGUUCUGGUAAGCAAAGAAGUGAAGUAUGUGCUCCAUCAGUCUGGGGAGGGGUUUCAGAGCCCAUGUGUAGAACAGCUGGUAGAGCUGCCUGGUGGUGGCGGUGAGGGGCUGUGUGUGUUCCUGUGCUCCUUUUCCUUUUCAGAACCAUAGGGUACUCGGGGUUGGAAGGGACCACUGGAGGUCCAUUAGUGCCAACCCAUGCCCAGAGCGGGUCUUGCAGAGCAGUGCUGGGUGUGCCCGGCCUGCAAGCAUCCAUAGCGUGCUGAAGUCCUUCCCAGCACCUGACAUCUCUGAUGGGUACCGGUGGGACAGGCAGCACUGCCAGUUAUUCUGGGCUUAGGAGGGGCUGAAUUCAUGGAGCUGUGUGCCAGAGCUGUAACUUAAGGCGUUGCUGCACACAAAGCCACGCAGAGCAAUCCGUGAUAGAAAUCUUUGUCCUCUGAUGCGUGCCAAUUUGCUGAAGAUGAAACUUUUUCCACCCCGACUCUUUCGUUGUAAUGCUUCAGAAUGUUUUGCUCUCACUUUGGUUAAUGAAGCAUUGUGAUGCCUCAGUUUAAAAUUCAUUUACCACCUGAAGAGGUUUAUUCAGGGGGAGGGGAACCAAUACGGAGGAAGCAGAGCAGACCUUUGGUUUUGCAUUUUCAGAGGACAAAACGCUUUGCUUUUCAGGACAGGAAACUAUCCUGAAAUAUAAGAGCUGUUCUCCAGGCUGAAAAACCAGUUCUCCACACUGGGGAGGUUUUUCAAGCUCUCGUGUCAGACACGCAGUGGCUCAGGAUGGACUCAGGCACCAUUCAGAGCUUGCUGUGAUUGUAUGAGGACACCACACGCACUGCUGCAUGCUCUCGUGUGCAUUGGAAUCAUAGAAUCACAGAAUGACGUGGGUAGAAAGAGACCAUAAUGAUCAACUAGUUUCAACCCCCCUGCUGCGUGUAGGGUUGCCAACCAUUAGGCUAUAGGAAGGGAUGGCAAGUGGGCACACCUGCAGCACUGCACAGCCUGGUGUAAAUAGCAUUGAUUAAAAGCACCGUGCUUUGCAUCUACCUCGUGCAUUUGCAAUUUUGUCUCCUGGCACUGAUGCCACGUGGGUGUUUUCAUUCUGGUGUAUCUCUCCUCACAG